GACGAACGCUGGCGGCGCGCUUAACACAUGCAAGUCGAACGGAAAGGCCUGCUUUCCCUUGUGGAUUGCGGGUACUCGAGUGGCGAACGGGUGAGUAACACGUGAGUGAUCUGCCCCCAACUUGGGUAUAAGCCUGGGAAACUGGGUCUAAUUCCCGAUAGGACUGCAGGGUGGUGCCUGUGGUGGAAAACGAUUUUCUAGUGGUUGGGGAUGAGCUCGCGGCCUAUCAGCUUGUUGGUGGGGUAAUGGCCUACCAAGGCGGCGACGGGUAGCCGGCCUGAGAGGGUGGACGGGCACAUUGGGACUGGGAUACGGCCCAGACUGCUACGGGAGGCAGCAGUGGGGAAUAUUGCACAGUGGGCGGAAGCCUGAUGCAGCGACGCCGCGUGGGGGAUGACGGGCUUCGGGUGGUAAACUCCUUUCGACCGCGAGGAAGCCACCUGGUUGGAAGGGUGGUGACGGUAGUGGUAGAAGAAGCACCGGCUAACUACGUG
rnacentral:rRNA from 1 species